rnacentral:rRNA from 1 species
AGGGUUUGAUCAUGGCUCAGAACGUACGCUGGCGGCACGCCUAACACAUGCAAGUCGAACGAAGUAGCAAUACUUAGUGGCGAACGGGUGAGUAUAAUGUGGGUAUCUGCCUUUUGGUUUGGAAUAACACGGGGAAACUUGUGCUAAUACUGAAUAAGCCUUUACAGGGAAAGCUUUAGCGCCAAAAGAUGAGCCCGCACUUGAUUAGCUAGUUGGUAAGGUAAAAGCUUACCAAGGCUACGAUCAAUAGCUGAUCUGAGAGGAUGAUCAGCCGCAUUGGGACUGAGACACGGCCCAAACUCCUACGGGAGGCAGCAGUGGGGAAUCUUGCACAAUGGGGGAAACCCUGAUGCAGCGAUGCCGCGUGAGUGAAGAAGGCCCUUGGGUUGUAAAGCUCUUUCGUCGGGGAAGAAAAUGACUGUACCCGAAUAAGAAGUCC